GACGAGGUGCACAAACGUUAUUCGGAAUUACUGGGCUUAAAGCGUGCGUAGGCGGCCUAGCAAGUCAGGUGUGAAAGCCCUCGGCUCAACCGAGGAAUUGCGCCCGAAACUGCUGGGCUUGAGUGAGACAGAGGUGAGCGGAACUGAUGGUGGAGCGGUGAAAUGCGGUUGAUAUCAUCAGGAACACCGGUGGCGAAGGCGGCGUCACUGGGUCUCAACUGACGGCUGAGGUACGAAAGCCAGGGUAGCGAACGGG
rnacentral:rRNA from 1 species